UACUAGUUUCCUAGUCAGUCCCACCAGAGUGCUCUCAUUACUGAGAUAGCAACUGGCGGCAGGGGUUGCGCUCGUUAGAGGACUUAACCUAACAUCUCACGACACGAGCUGACGACAGCCAUGCAGCACCUGUGUAUUUGUCCGAGUUACCCCGGAAAACCAUAUCUCUACAGUGGUCAAAUACAUGUCAAACCUAGGUAAGGUUUCUCGCGUAGUGUCGAAUUAAACCACAUGUUCCACCGCUUGUGCGGACCCCCGUCAAUUUCUUUGAGUUUUAAUCUUGCGACCGUACUACUCAGGCGGAUCACUUAACGCGUUAGCUACGACACAGAACUUGCAAGCAAGUCCCAUAUCUAGUGAUCAUCGUUUACGGCGUGGACUAC
rnacentral:misc_RNA from 1 species